GUCUCAUUGACUGUUUUGUUUAUGAUUGAAGUUAACCUUUUUGAUGAAGAUGGCGCCCCUCACAUGUUUCUUUUCUUUGGGAAUUCUGUAAUUUGCAAAUGGAAGCAUACCCAGUAUUUAUUACUUUGUUAUUGAGCUUCCUCCAUGGACUGAUAUUCUCAAGACUGCUAGAUUCAAGGAGCUUCCUCCCUAUGACCAUGAUCGGUACUAUGUCAGAGAUGGGGAAGAAGGAUCACAUCCCACGGCCAGCGAGAUCUUGACUCAAGUUGCUGGGCGGAUAGUUGUCGCCCCUUGAUCAAUGAGUUGUAGGUAGUUCUACCAUACAAUGCAACAAUUUUUUUGGUUUGUUUCUUUUAGAUUAUCACCAGGUUGAAAUUGAAUCAAUGUAGUUCCCUAGUUUUAGAAAACGAGUUACAAUGUCCUAUGUUGAAUCAAUGCAGUAUUUCUUAGAACCCGGAGAAACAUUCCUUGCAGACUUAUCCUAUUCCAACUUUAGUUAGGAUUUUCACUUGAAUUAGUUGUAA